rnacentral:rRNA from 1 species
AUUGAACGCUAGCGGCAUGCUUUACACAUGCAAGUCGAACGAGUGGCGAACGGGUGCGUAAUAUAUCGGAACGUACCGAGUAACGGGGGAUAACCAAUCGAAAGAUUUGCUAAUAUCGCAUAUUAUUCGAGCGGCCGAUAUCCGAUGAGCUAGUUGGUGGGGUAAAGCCCUACCAAGGCGAAGAUCAGUAGCAGGUCUGAGAGGACGAUCGGCCCAACUGGGACGGAGACACGGCCCAGACUCCUCCGUGAGGCCGCAGUGGGGAAGUUUUGACAAUGGGGGAAACCCUGAUCCAGCCCUGGCGCGUGUAUGAAGAAGGCCUUCGGGUUGUAAAGUACUUUUGUUAGGGAAGCGGUACCUAAAGAAUAAGCACCGGCUAACUACGUGCCAGCAGCCGCGGUAAUAC